GAUGAACGCUGGCGGCGUGCCUAAUACAUGCAAGUCGAGCGAACAGACGAGGAGCUUGCUCCUCUGACGUUAGCGGCGGACGGGUGAGUAACACGUGGAUAACCUACCUAUAAGACUGGGAUAACUUCGGGAAACCGGAGCUAAUACCGGAUAAUAUAUUGAACCGCAUGGUUCAAUAGUGAAAGACGGUUUUGCUGUCACUUAUAGAUGAAUCCGCGCCGCAUUAGCUAGUUGGUAAGGUAACGGCUUACCAAGGCAACGAUGCGUAGCCGACCUGAGAGGGUGAUCGGCCACACUGGAACUGAGACACGGUCCAGACUCCUACGGGAGGCAGCAGUAGGGAAUCUUCCGCAAUAGGCGAAAGCCUGACGGAGCAACGCCGCGUGAGUGAUGAAGGUCUUCGGAUCGUAAAACUCUGUUAUUAGGGAAGAACAAAUGUGUAAGUAACUAUGCACGUCUUGACGGUACCUAAUCAGAAAGCCACGGCUAACUACGUG
rnacentral:rRNA from 1 species